AGUGAACGCUGGCGGUAGGCCUAACACAUGCAAGUCGAACGGCAGCACAGUAAGAGCUUGCUCUUACGGGUGGCGAGUGGCGGACGAGUGAGGAAUACAUCGGAAUCUACUUUUUCGUGGGGGAUAACGUAGGGAAACUUACGCUAAUACCGCAUACGACCUACGGGUGAAAGCAGGGGAUCUUCGGACCUUGCGCGAUUGAAUGAGCCGAUGUCGGAUUAGCUAGUUGGCGGGGUAAAGGCCCACCAAGGCGACGAUCCGUAGCUGGUCUGAGAGGAUGAUCAGCCACACUGGAACUGAGACACGGUCCAGACUCCUACGGGAGGCAGCAGUGGGGAAUAUUGGACAAUGGGCGCAAGCCUGAUCCAGCCAUACCGCGUGGGUGAAGAAGGCCUUCGGGUUGUAAAGCCCUUUUGUUGGGAAGGAAAAGCAGCAGGUUAAUACCCCGCUGUUCUGACGGUACCCAAAGAAUAAGCACCGGCUAACUUCGUG
rnacentral:rRNA from 1 species